rnacentral:rRNA from 1 species
AUGUCGCAAGAACUGGUGCAUGCGGCAAUGGCGGUCGCGCCCGGUGACAUUCCACCGCCCUUGGCCACCCCUGCUCUUCUUCCGCAGGCCAAAAUGGUUAAGGAAGACCCGAGUUUUCCCCAAGCCUCGCCGGUGGUUCCGGCCAUGAUGGCGGAAGACUGGUCCAAAUGGUCCACGCUUCCGCCCGGCCUCGUCCGCCGCGUCGGCGACUCCCUCCUAUCCACCAACGACCUCGACUGCUACAUUCACUUCAGCGCCAUUUGCCCCGGCUGGCGUGCCGCCGCCGAUGACCCUAUGAGCGACACCUCCGACCCACCGCUUCCACCCGCGCCGGUGGAUCAUCCUCGACGAGGACUUCUAGAGCGAAGGGAAGCUGCUCCUGCUGAACACUGA